rnacentral:rRNA from 1 species
CGCCUCUUGUAUGAAUAGGAGGUCUAGCCUGCCCACUGAAAAUUAAAGGGCCGCGGUAUUUUGACCGUGCAAAGGUAGCAUAAUCAUUAGUCUUCUAAUUAAAGGCUGGAAUGAAUGGUUGGACGAGGUAUUAGCUGUCUCUUUGGAAUUAAUUUGAAUUUAACUUUCUAGUGAAAAGGCUGGAAUAAUAUUGGAGGACGAGAAGACCCUAUAGAGCUUUAUAUUUGUCUUUAUUUUAAUUUAUUUGGUAGGAGUGUAAUUUUGUAGGGAGAAUAUUUCGUUGGGGUGACGGGAAGAUAAGAUAAACUCUUCUUAAAAUAAAACACGAAUGUGUGAUUUAGUUGAUCCAUUAUUAAUGAUUAAAAGACUAAGUUACCUUAGGGAUAACAGCGUAAUCUUUUUUGAGAGUUCUAAUCGACAAAAAGGGUUGCGACCUCGAUGUUGGACUAAGGGUUAUUCUUGGGUGUAGCAGUUCAAGGUUUAGGUCUGUUCGACCUUUGAAUCCUUACAU